UUGUAAUGAUGCGAGGAGACUACGUCUAAAGAAAGGAAAGUGAGGAGUUAGGUCAGAUUGAAACAAGUGAAGAGUGCAGGCAUCCGUGGCAUGCAGAUUAUUUAGAAAAAUAUUAUAUUGGAAAGCAAUCGGUUUGAAUGUACCCACAGCCUCGAUAAAGAUGCCUUUCCCUUUAAGAGCUGGAUCAGCAUUGCACAAGCCAUCAGGUGCACAGAAGCAGCAAACCAAGAAUAAACUGAUGUUAGAGUGAAACAAGAAACUUGUAAACAAAUGUUCUCCCCUCCCUCUUGCUCACUCCCUGUACUUUUCUUUUGUACUUAUUCUAUUGACUCAGGUCUACAGUAGCUACCUCUACUCUCGUAUAUACGCAGCAGUGGCAAGGAAA